rnacentral:sRNA from 2 species
AUGUACCGCUCCUACAUUCCGGUUCAGAGCGCGCUGCCCGCGCCCAGCUGACGACUGCCGGUUCCGUUUUGUCAGCC